rnacentral:rRNA from 1 species
CCGGGGGAAAGAUUUAUCGCUAUUAGAUGGGCCCGCGUUGGAUUAGCUAGUUGGUGAGGUAACGGCCCACCAAGGCGACGAUGGGUAGCUGGUCUGAGAGGAUGAUCAGCCACACUGGAACUGAGACACGGUCCAGACUCCUACGGGAGGCAGCAGGUGGGGUAAUUUUGCGCAAUGGGCGAAAGCCUGACGCAGCAACGCCGCGUGUGUGACGAAGGCCCUAGGGUUGUAAAGCACUGUGGGAAGGGAAGAAAAACGGGGGUUGUACCCCGUCUUGACGGUACCUUGUUAGAAAGCACCGGCUAACUCCGUG